AACGAACGCUGGCGGCGUGCCUAACACAUGCAAGUCGAGCGAGAAAAGGGGGGCAACUCCCUGAGUACAGCGGCGCACGGGUGAGUAACACGUAGGCAACCUGCCCUCGAGCCCGGAAUAACCUACCGAAAGGUGGGCUAAUACCGGAUAUGACCACGGGAGUCUCGGCUCCUGAGGUGAAAGAUGGCCUCUGCAUGCAAGCUAUCACUCGUCGAUGGGCCUGCGCGCCAUUAGCUAGUUGGUGAGGUAACGGCUCACCAAGGCGAUGAU
rnacentral:rRNA from 1 species